GGCGCACGGGUGCGUAACGCGUAUGCAACCUACCUUUAACUGGGGAAUAGCCCCGAGAAAUCGGGAUUAAUACCUCAUAACACUGCGAAGUGGCAUCACUUUGCAAUUAAAGCUCCGGCGGUUAAAGAUGGGCAUGCGUGACAUUAGCUAGUUGGUGGGGUAACGGCCCACCAAGGCUACGAUGUCUAGGGGUUCUGAGAGGAUGAUCCCCCACACUGGUACUGAGACACGGACCAGACUCCUACGGGAGGCAGCAGUAAGGAAUAUUGCGCAAUGGAGGCAACUCUGACGCAGCCAUGCCGCGUGCAGGAAGAAGGCCUUAUGGGUCGUAAACUGCUUUUAUUUAGGAAUAACCCCCUGCUCGUGAGCAGGGCUGAAGGUACUAAAAGAAUAAGCACCGGCUAACUCCGUGCCAGCAGCCGCGGUAAUACGGAGGGUGCAAGCGUUAUCCGGAUUUAUUGGGUUUAAAGGGUGCGCAGGCGGGCUAUUAAGUCAGUGGUGAAAACCCGGGGCUCAACCCCGGAACUGCCAUUGAUACUGAUAGUCUUGAGUUUGGUUGAAGUGGGCGGAAUGUAGCAUGUAGCGGUGAAAUGCAUAGAUAUGCUACAGAACACCAAUCGCGAAGGCAGCUCACUAAGCCAAAACUGACGCUCAUGCACGAAAGCGUGGG
rnacentral:rRNA from 1 species